GUAGCUACAGGAUACCUGGUGCUUAGGCCCCUUAAGGACUCCACUCCUGAGCAAGGUCAUAAAUUCUAGCACUUUACAUACCGAAGCUUAGGAAGACAGAAUAUCAGAUCAAGAUUCUCUCUCUAGCAGAGAUUGGAGAUUCCUGAGUGAGAAGAGUGGAAUAUGAGAAGGAUGAAAGCCUGUACAGUUCCUGGACUACCUGCCCAUAUAUCUUCCCUUGAGGAAGAAACACAGUGACAAGAACAGAAACAGGUUCAUACAUUCAGUCUGUAUUUGCUGUUACUAUUAGCAAGGCUUCAUACACCACUCACAGUACAUACACAGGCCAUAGGAUACUUUGAAGGCUGAAUUGAUCCAUUAGCCUGUGGUGCUACAAGCCUGGGCCGCAAUAAUGCUGUAUCCCUCCAGAGGCCUGGCGUGAAAUCAAAUAGGAGCAAUGAGAAUAAAUACGUGUGCCUGAGUCAAAGAAGAAAGGAAGCCACUUCCAGCCUGGCUAAGGAGAAAGAAGCAAGAGUACAGGGAAAAUGGGGACCAGGUCUACCUUUUGCCAGGAGGUAGACUUAUUUAUCUGGUUUGUACAACCUGAUGGUUUUUUGUGUUGCCAUAAUAG
rnacentral:lncRNA from 1 species